rnacentral:rRNA from 1 species
UAAGGAAUAUUGGUCAAUGGACGCAAGUCUGAACCAGCCAUGCCGCGUGGAGGAUGAAGGUCCUCUGGAUUGUAAACUUCUUUUAUCUGGGACGAAACACUUCUUUUCCAAGAGGCCUGACGGUACCAGAUGAAUAAGCACCGGCUAACUCCGUGCCAGCAGCCGCGGUAAUACGGAGGGUGCAAGCGUUAUCCGGAUUUACUGGGCGUAAAGGGUGCGUAGGUGGGCUUAUAAGUCAGUGGUGAAAUCUCCGAGCUUAACUUGGAAACUGCCGUUGAUACUAUAGGUCUUGAAUUAUCUGGAGGUAAGCGGAAUAUGUCAUGUAGCGGUGAAAUGCUUAGAUAUGACAUAGAACACCAAUUGCGAAGGCAGCUUACUACAUAUAAAUUGACGCUGAGGCACGAAAGCGUGGGGAUCAAACA